GUGGGGAAUAUUGGGCAAUGGGCGAAAGCCUGAUCCAGCCAUGCCGCGUGUGUGAAGAAGGUCUUCGGAUUGUAAAGCACUUUAAGUUGGGAGGAAGGGCAGUAAGUUAAUACCUUGCUGUUUUGACGUUACCGACAGAAUAAGCACCGGCUAACUUCGUGCCAGCAGCCGCGGUAAUACGAAGGGUGCAAGCGUUAAUCGGAAUUACUGGGCGUAAAGCGCGCGUAGGUGGUUUUGUAAGUUGGAGGUGAAAUCCCCGGGCUCAACCUGGGAACUGCCUCCAAAACUGCAUGACUAGAGUACGGUAGAGGGUAGUGGAAUUUCCUGUGUAGCGGUGAAAUGCGUAGAUAUAGGAAGGAACACCAGUGGCGAAGGCGACUACCUGGACUGAUACUGACACUGAGGUGCGAAAGCGUGGGGAGCAAACAGGAUUAGAUACCCCGGUAGUCC
rnacentral:rRNA from 1 species